UACAGAGGUCCCAAGCGUUGUUCGGAUUCACUGGGCGUAAAGGGUGCGCAGGUGGUCGGGUAAGUCUGAUGUGAAAUCCCGCAGCUUAACUGCGGAAUGGCAUUGGAUACUAUUCGGCUAGAGGGUUGGAGGGGGGACUGGAAUUCUCGGUGUAGCAGUGAAAUGCGUAGAUAUCGUGAGGAAGACCAGUGGCGAAGGCGGGUCUCUGGACAGUUCCUGACACUGAGGCACGAAGGCUAGGGGAGCAAACGGG
rnacentral:rRNA from 1 species